CCAAUAUGUGGGAGCCUGGAAGGAAGAGGCGUGGGGAGCUAAGGAAAAUCUUUCUCUUCAUGUUAGAUUUCUGUUCAGUGCAUGGCCUUGCAGCUAAGCAUUGGACUGAACAAUGGGACGCCAAUGGAG
rnacentral:lncRNA from 14 species